rnacentral:rRNA from 1 species
GAACGGGUGAGUAAUGUAUCGGAACGUGCCCAGUCGUGGGGGAUAACUGCUCGAAAGAGCAGCUAAUACCGCAUACGACCUGAGGGUGAAAGCGGGGGAUCGCAAGACCUCGCGCGAUUGGAGCGGCCGAUAUCAGAUUAGGUAGUUGGUGAGGUAAAGGCUCACCAAGCCGACGAUCUGUAGCUGGUCUGAGAGGACGACCAGCCACACUGGGACUGAGACACGGCCCAGACUCCUACGGGAGGCAGCAGUGGGGAAUUUUGGACAAUGGGCGCAAGCCUGAUCCAGCCAUGCCGCGUGCGGGAAGAAGGCCUUCGGGUUGUAAACCGCUUUUGUCAGGGAAGAAAAGGUUCUGGCUAAUACCUGGGACUCAUGACGGUACCUGAAGAAUAAGCACCGGCUAACUACGUGCCAGCAGCCGCGGUAAUACGUAGGGUGCAAGCGUUAAUCGGAAUUACUGGGCGUAAAGCGUGCGCAGGCGGUUACGCAAGACAGAGGUGAAAUCCCCGGGCUCAACCUGGGAACUGCCUUUGUGACUGCAUGGCUAGAGUACGGUAGAGGGGGAUGGAAUUCCGCGUGUAGCAGUGAAAUGCGUAGAUAUGCGGAGGAACACCGAUGGCGAAGGCAAUCCCCUGGACCUGCACUGACGCUCAUGCACGA